rnacentral:rRNA from 1 species
AACGCGGGCUUCGGCCCGUCAGUAAAGUGGCAGACGGGUGAGUAACACGUGGGUAACCUGCCCGGAGGUGGGGGAUAACCCUCCGAAAGGAGGGCUAAUACCGCAUAACAUCCUCGAGACUCUGGUCUCGGAGAUCAAAGCUAGCCUCUACAUGCAAGCUAGCACCACCGGAGGGGCCCGCGGCCCAUUAGCUUGUUGGUGAGGUAACGGCUCACCAAGGCGACGAUGGGUAGCCGGCCUGAGAGGGCGAUCGGCCACACUGGAACUGAGACACGGUCCAGACUCCUACGGGAGGCAGCAGUGAGGAAUUUUGCGCAAUGGGGGAAACCCUGACGCAGCGACGCCGCGUGGAGGACGAAGGCCUUCGGGUCGUAAACUCCUGUCAAGUGGGACGAAUGCCGAAGAGAUGAAUAAGCUCUUCGGUUGACGGUACCAUUGGAGGAAGCCC